AAGGUCUGAUUUCUCUUCAGAUCCUAUAAAUCUUUUGCCUUUUACUCAAGAUUUCCAUGGAGAUGAACACAUAUGAGUUUAUAGCUAACUUUUCGAGACUUUCAUGCUGCAAACCA